rnacentral:tRNA from 1 species
UGAACCCUAACUUAUCCUUAAA